rnacentral:piRNA from 1 species
UGACCAGUAUGCUCUGGUGGAAGCAGAGGUC